rnacentral:tRNA from 1 species
GCCGACAUAGCUCAGCAGGUAGAGCAACUGAUUCGUAAUCAGUAGGUCCCGUGUUCGAUUCACGGUGUCGGCU